AAGGCGAAGGCGGUGAGGAGCCAGGAGUUAGAUCCCCGGGCUCUCAGAGAUAAGCCGACAGAAUGAGACAUUAAGACUGACCACUGAAUUCCGUCUGAAAUCAUUUUAAGCCACUGAAUUUCAGAAAAUUCCACUUUUCCGACUUCAGCUGCGCCCCCUCUUCCCUUCGUUUGUAAUUUAGCCGCCGUUUCCCAAAGACGGGCAGGCAGUAAAGAUUCUCGUUCAGAAGGCUCUGCAAAAUCAAAAAUGAAAAAGAGACAUUCUGCCCCUCCCUUGCCGUCCUCUCUCGCCCCGGUUCCGCCAGCACCCCGCCGGCUUGCCAAGAGCCACCCAGGAACAGAUUUCCUGCUUCAUCUGCCGCCUCUGGCCGGCCGCUCCUACUCCCUGCUCACCCCCCAGAGGCACUGCGGGCCCCGAACCGGCUGCAGACACGGAGCUCGACCGUGGCGCUGAUUCACGUGGCCGCAGCCGCUCUCGCUUCUGCUUCUUCCGGAAACGCAGGCAAGCAGCCACCCCCAGUCCACCCAGCCAGGUGACCCUGGGCAAGUCCCUAGUGGCAGGGCCACGUCCAAAGCCCCGGUCCAGGAAGCCAAGGCUUCACCGUCUCUACGCUUGCUCCUCCGUUCCAAGCCCCCGGCUUCCCCUUAGCUGGGCGUGUACUUCAUCUCCGAUUCGAGCCACGGCAAAGUCAGGAGGCUUGGGUGGUGUUUCUGGCUCAGUAAUUACCUUGCUGGGGGCGCCCCGGCUGAGGGAAUUGUCCUCUCUGAGCCAGCGUGUCUCCGACUUGAAAACAGGGCAAAAUCUCCCAGUUGUUCUGUAGAUCCUAAAUGCAUCCUUGGUGACCCAGGCAACCUGCAGAGACAACUUCCGAUUUAUCUAUUAUGGACCGGAUACUUUGGGUUUCCCCAAAUUCCUGUGUUAAAGUCCGAGCUCCAAAUGGGACUGGAAGAGGAGGUGGGGCCUUUGGGAGAUACUGAGGGUGGGGCCCCUGUGGUGGGAUUAGUGGCUCUGUAGGAAGAGGAAGCCACCUUCCAGUUUCCUGCCUUGGCCCUGUGACCAUAAAGGUGGCCAUCCGCAAGCCAGGAGAGGGGCCUUUACCAAGACCGAAAUCUACUGACACCGUGAGCUGGGACUUCAGCCUCCAGGAACUGUGAGAAAUACAUGUCUGUGGAUGAAGCUUACCCAGUCUGUGGUGUUCUAUUAUAGCAGCUGGAGGAGACCAUCAAAGUAUCUCUGUAUAAAUACAUAUAUGUCUAUCAUUGCUUUCUUAUUUUUCUAUAUUUCUGUAUCUUGCAUUUUUUUCCUCCAGCAUAUAUUGGAAUCCCUCUUAAUUCACUCAAUUUAGCUCCAAUUUAUUCUUCUUUAUGGCCUCAUAGAACUCUAUGGUGUAGCAGUACUAUGAUUUCUUUAAGCAUUCUCCUAGAGAUAAUAUUUAUUUUGUUUCCAGUUCUUUUGUUUGCUUGUUUAAUCACUGUUUAAAAUGGAGUCCAUUUCUGUGAAAAUAUGUCCUUAGAUCUUAAAGCUUUCACUCCUAAGGGAUGGAUUCCUGGGAGUGCAAAUGCUGAGUCAGACAUGUAUGUAUUUUUAAUCAUAAAAGAUGUUGCCAUAUUCCUUUCCAAAAAGAUUGCAUUAAUACAUAUUUCCAACCAGAAAUGUACGAGAGUUCCCACAUCCUCUUUAGCAGCAGGGAUUAUCGGUCCCCCAUUUUCCCAUCUGAUCAGUGUAAACUCAGGCCUUGCUGUGACUUUACUUCCUAUCUCCCUGAUUGCCCCUGAGUUUCAGCCUCUUUUCAUGCAUGUGUUGGUCACCCGGAAUUGCUGUUCUGUGAAUUACCUAUUCACAUCCUUGGCUCAGUUUUCUGUUGCGGUGUUUAUCCCUGACUUACUUGUUUUGUAAGAGUUCUUUGUAUAUUAUAGCUGUUCACCCUUCAAUCUCUGUGUUGCUCUCCAGGCUAGUGUUUAUCUGUUGACUUAGUUUAUGGUGUCUUUUCCAAGCCAGAGCUUCUCAUUUUUAACUUGUCAAAUAUGUAUAUAUGUACAUUAUACCUUCUGAAUUUCCAAUAUUGAUUAAAAAACUC